rnacentral:lncRNA from 1 species
AACUUUUUAUAUUAAGAGUUGAUGUAAAAUAAACUUGCUUGAAAUGAGAGUUCCAAGUUAAUCCAAAGCUCAUGUAGGAUCAAGACCCACACAAUAGCAGGAGGUUUUAGGUCUUGGUUUAGACUGGUGGUCAAAAGCCACUAUCAGCAUGUUUUCUAUUAUAUCUGAUGGAAUAACUUACAUUAUUUGCCAGAUUACAGUAGUGAUAAUUGUUGGCAGUUACUUGGGUCUCUAAGAGAAUUUGGGGUACUUCUAUGAUUUAUUUCAUAAUGAAGGUUAAUUCUGGGACCAUAGCCACCUUCUAAGAAAUAAGUGAAAAGGUGUAUGUAGAUGUAUGUAGGUGGGGGCAGGGGUAUAAUUCAUGAGACAAAGGGAAAAAGAGUUUGAGUUCAUGAUUAAAGUGAAACCAAU